CCUACGGGAGGCAGCAGUGAGGAAUAUUGGUCAAUGGGCGGAAGCCUGAACCAGCCAAGUAGCGUGCGGGAUGAAGGCCCUACGGGUCGUAAACCGCUUUUGCACGGGGAUAACACCCUCCACUUGUGGAGGUCUGCAGGUACCGUGCGAAUAAGGGCCGGCUAAUUCCGUGCCAGCAGCCGCGGUAAUACGGAAGGCCCGAGCGUUAUCCGGAUUCAUUGGGCUUAAAGGGAGCGUAGGCGGGCGUUCAAGUCAGCUGUAAAAUCGCGCGGCUCAACCGCGCCCCGCAGUUGAAACUGGACGCAUUGAGUUCACAACAGGCAGGCGGAAUUCGUGGUGUAGCGGUGAAAUGCAUAGAUAGCACGAGGAACCCCGAUUGCGAAGGCAGCCUGCCGGGGUGCGACUGACGCUGAGGCUCGAAGGUGCGGGUAUCAAACAGGAUUAGAUACCCCAGUAGUC
rnacentral:rRNA from 1 species